rnacentral:rRNA from 1 species
AUUGAACGCUGGCGGCAUGCUUUACACAUGCAAGUCGAACGGUAACAGGCCUUCGGGUGCUGACGAGUGGCGAACGGGUGAGUAAUGCAUCGGAACGUACCCAGAGGUGGGGGAUAACGCAGCGAAAGCUGUGCUAAUACCGCAUGUGAUCUGAGGAUGAAAGCGGGGGACCGAGCAGCAAUGUUUGGCCUCGCGCCUUUGGAGCGGCCGAUGUCGGAUUAGCUAGUUGGUGGGGUAAAGGCCUACCAAGGCGACGAUCCGUAGCUGGUCUGAGAGGACGACCAGCCACACUGGGACUGAGACACGGCCCAGACUCCUACGGGAGGCAGCAGUGGGGAAUUUUGGACAAUGGGCGCAAGCCUGAUCCAGCAAUGCCGCGUGCGGGAAGAAGGCCUUCGGGUUGUAAACCGCUUUUGGCGGGAACGAAACGGUGUCCGCUAAUACCGGGCGCUAAUGACGGUACCUGCAGAAUAAGCACCGGCUAACCACGUG